AGCACUGAAGGGACUUGCACUGUGGAUAACUGUGGAUUGGUUUUGGCUUCACUGUAAAUAAAGACACUGUUCAACUUAAACGAGAGGACAGCGAACUGGAUGAAAGUGACAGCGAGUACGAGAGGAUCCCAGAGUCAGGCCUGAGGAACAGUUAGGAGAUCAGGGGUCAGUUAAAGGUUAUCAAUAUCUGAUGUGUGUAGGUAAUCAAUAGUGUGUGUGUGUGUGUGUGUGUGUGUGUUUUUGUUUGUUUGUUUUUGUUUGUUUUGUUUUGUUUUUUUUAAGGUCAGCAACAGUAUUCACCCUCUGUCUGAAUCUUUGAGAUGAUUAAACUUAAUCCAAGUCUGGUGUGACUUUUGAGAA